CCGUGCUAGACGGGGAGUUAGCGGUGCCCUGUACCCGCAAACCGCUACAGCGGGGUCGAAUUCCCACCCCCGGUGCUCUCUUGUGAGGCUGGCCCCUUUAAGUAGUGUUGAAAGCAGGGUCCUGCGCGGCGGAGCCCUGUGAACCCCGCCAGGUCCGGGAGGAAGCAACGGUAAGCAGAAAGCUCCGGGUGCCGCAGGGAAGCCUUGCUGGAGCUGGCUGAAGGGAUACCGCUCGGAAGGGAUCAUCAAAGGUGGGUGCACGG
rnacentral:SRP_RNA from 1 species